CACGUAGGGUGCGAGCGUUGUCCGGAAUUAUUGGGCGUAAAGAGCUCGUAGGCGGUGUGUCGCGUCGGCCGUGAAAACCUGCAGCUUAACUGUGGGCUUGCGGUCGAUACGGGCAUCACUGGAGUUCGGCAGGGGAGACUGGAAUUUCUGGUGUAGCGGUGAAAUGCGCAGAUAUCAGGAGGAACACCGGUGGCGAAGGCGGGUCUCUGGGCCGAUACUGACGCUGAGGAGCGAAAGCGUGGGGAGCGAACAGG
rnacentral:rRNA from 1 species